CGUAGCUCAGUCGGUAGAGCGCUCGGCUGUUAACCGAAAGGUCGCUGGUUCGAUCCCAGCCGG
rnacentral:tRNA from 1 species